AUCCAGCUGACGAGUCCAAAAUAGAACGAGACGAGCGUACUGGAU
rfam:Schistosoma mansoni strain Puerto Rico chromosome 2, complete genome